GAUGAACGCUGGCGGCGUGCCUAAUACAUGCAAGUAGAACGCUGAAGCUUGGUGCUUGCACCGAGCGGAUGAGUUGCGAACGGGUGAGUAACGCGUAGGUAACCUGCCUGGUAGCGGGGGAUAACUAUUGGAAACGAUAGCUAAUACCGCAUAACAGUAGAUAUUGCAUGAUAUCUGCUUGAAAGGUGCAAAUGCAUCACUACCAGAUGGACCUGCGUUGUAUUAGCUAGUUGGUGAGGUAACGGCUCACCAAGGCGACGAUACAUAGCCGAACUGAGAGGGUGAUCGGCCACACUGGGACUGAGACACGGCCCAGACUCCUACGGGAGGCAGCAGUAGGGAAUCUUCGGCAAUGGGGGGAACCCUGACCGAGCAACGCCGCGUGAGUGAAGAAGGUUUUCGGAUCGUAAAGCUCUGUUGUAAGAGAAGAACGAGUGUGAGAGUGGAAAGUUCACACUGUGACGGUAUCUUACCAGAAAGGGACGGCUAACUACGUG
rnacentral:rRNA from 1 species